UGUAGAAAGGGUGCUGGGAAAUUGAAGACAUUUAAAUAACAUAAUAUAACGGAAAACAUAUUUUCCAUUUUCUACACAUAAUGUGCUAAUAAUGUAAUUCAGAAGAGAGAGCGCAUAUUUUUAGCUUACAAGGAGUCUGAACCAAAGUUCACUGAAGAGGUGAAAUCCUCUAUGACCAGAAUGAUAAAGAUGUUAACCGUCCUUGAUUAAGAACAAGAAUGAAUGAAUCAGAGAGGACGCGUAUAGACAUGGAGUGAAGAUCAAAAACCUUUACAGUGUUACCCAAUUGUUCAUGUAGUUUGGCAUCUCUUCAUGCUCCUACACAUUUUGCACAUCCUGUUCUGAGAAAAACAUCCAUGCCUUCUUUUUCAGAUGUGUCAAGAGCAAACCACUCUGGGAAGAAAUAAUACUGAGAAAAGAAAUGACACUGGAGCUCAUCAAACUGUAUGGGGCAAGUUACCAAAAAAAAAAAUAGACGGUAUUUGAAAGGACAAGAAAAAAAUGCAAAGAAAGUUAUGAACAUGGAAAUCAAGAAAUGAAAGAGCUAUGAGAAGAGAAAGUUUCCAGAAGGGUUUCAUGCUACAGAAAGUCUUAU